rnacentral:tRNA from 1 species
AGAGGUGGCUGAACGGUUUAAAGCGCCUGACUGAUAAUCAGGUGAUCCUUCGGGACCCGGGGGUUCGAAUCCCCUCUUC